UGACCUCGGAUCAGGUAGGGAAUACCCGCUGAACUUAAGCAUAUCAAUAAGCGGAGGAAAAGAAACCCAACAGGGAUUGCCCCCAGUUAACGGCGAGUGAAGCGGCAACAGCUCAAAUUUGAAAUCUGGCCCCAAGCCCCGAGUUGUAAUUUGCAGAGGAUGCUUUUUGGCGCGGUGCCUUCCGAGUUCCCUGGAACGGGACGCCAUAGGAGGGUGAGAGCCCCGUACGGUUGGACACCAAGCCUCUGUAAAGCUCCUUCGACGAGUCGAGUAGUUUGGGAAUGCUGCUCAAAAUGGGAGGUAUAUUUCUUCUAAAGCUAAAUAUUGGCCAGAGACCGAUAGCGCACAAGUAGAGUGAUCGAAAGAUGAAAAGCACUUUGAAAAGAGGGUUAAACAGCACGUGAAAUUGUUAAAAGGGAAGCGCUUGUGACCAGACUUGCGCCCGGUGAAUCACCCAGCUCUCGCGGCUGGGGCACUUCGCCGGCACAGGCCAGCAUCAGCUCGCCGUCGGGGACAAAAGCUUGGGGAACGUAGCUCUCUUCGGGGAGUGUUAUAGCCCCUUGCAUAAUACCCUUCGGCGGGCUGAGGUACGCGUUCGCAAGGAUGCUGGCGUAAUGGUCAUCAGCGACCCGUCUUGAAACACGGACCAAGGAGUCAACCUUAUGUGCGAGUGUUUGGGUGUCAAACCCCUACGCGUAAUGAAAGUGAACGCAGGUGAGAGCUUCGGCGCAUCAUCGACCGAUCCUGAUGUUCUCGGAUGGAUUUGAGUAAGAGCAUAUAGGGUUGGACCCGAAAGAAGGUGAACUAUGCGUGUAUAGGGUGAAGCCAGAGGAAACUCUGGUGGAGGCUCGCAGCGGUUCUGACGUGCAAAUCGAUCGUCAAAUAUGCGCAUGGGGGCGAAAGACUAAUCGAACCUUCUAGUAGCUGGUUUCCGCCGAAGUUUCCCUCAGGAUAGCAGUGUUGAACUCAGUUUUAUGAGGUAAAGCGAAUGAUUAGGGACUCGGGGGCGCUAUAUAG
rnacentral:ncRNA from 1 species